UGGGGAAUAUUGCACAAUGGGCGCAAGCCUGAUGCAGCCAUGCCGCGUGUAUGAAGAAGGCCUUCGGGUUGUAAAGUACUUUCAGCGAGGAGGAAGGCGUUGUGGUUAAUAACCGCAACGAUUGACGUUACUCGCAGAAGAAGCACCGGCUAACUCCGUGCCAGCAGCCGCGGUAAUACGGAGGGUGCAAGCGUUAAUCGGAAUUACUGGGCGUAAGGCGCACGCAGGCGGUCUGUCAAGUCGGAUGUGAAAUCCCCGGGCUCAACCUGGGAACUGCAUCCGAAACUGGCAGGCUAGAGUCUUGUAGAGGGGGGUAGAAUUCCAGGUGUAGCGGUGAAAUGCGUAGAGAUCUGGAGGAAUACCGGUGGCGAAGGCGGCCCCCUGGACAAAGACUGACGCUCAGGUGCGAAAGCGUGGGGAGCAAACA
rnacentral:rRNA from 1 species